rnacentral:lncRNA from 1 species
CUGACCAACCUCCUUGUCUUUGUCUUUUCUUUCACCAGGGCUCCAAGUCGGAGGACCCAGCCCUCGUCCCCAGCGUGAACCCCAGCCCACAGGACUUGGUUUCGGCAAGUCUGGCUCCCAGCAAGGCUGAGGUAGGAGACAUGGUUCUGCUGCACCUUUAAAACGUGUUCUGAAAUGGUU